GACAUUGUCUACUGAAGCCCCACCGGUGACGCGACGGGAGAGCUCCAACCUGUACGUGGGUGUGGGGACGCAGAUCCGCGUCGCCAGCCUACACAAGGCAAUGGUCAACGCGCCGACGCAGGGUUCAUCAUCUGUCUUCGUCAGGUGACUUUCCAUGCGAUUUUUACUUCUAAAAAUUAGAAAAUACCUUCAGAUCAAAGCAGGGGAUUUGUAGAUUUCUGGGUAUUGUUGCUACUCCAUCUCCAUCCAGCUUACGGUCUUUGGUCACUGAUUCUGAGGGGACGGCCAGGAUUACAAUGAGGGCGAGACGUUGAAGCUGGCGUCGGCAACUGUGACCACAACUGUGACAUUAACAUCGACCAUGGGAGCGAGGCGUCAGCCCUUGACAUAGACCGUGUUGGCCCCUUGUGUUUCUGUCCAGCCGUGCUCCGGUUCCGGCAGCUCCCAUUCCAGCCUAUCCCUUCUAGGAGCCUUCAGAUCGCUAAUGAUACUAAGAUUGCAUGAGUCCAUGAAGCAAGCAAUAAUCUAUCUCAAAAAAUUGUGUCCAAGCAUAUAACGGUUCAUCAAUUUUUGA